rnacentral:rRNA from 2 species
AGACCCGAAACCCGGUGAUCUAGCCAUGGGCAGGUUGAAGGUUGGGUAACACUAACUGGAGGACCGAACCGACUAAUGUUGAAAAAUUAGCGGAUGACCUGUGGCUGGGGGUGAAAGGCCAAUCAAACCGGGAGAUAGCUGGUUCUCCCCGAAAGCUAUUUAGGUAGCGCCUCGUGAAUUCAUCUCCGGGGGUAGAGCACUGUUUCGGCUAGGGGGCCAUCCCGGCUUACCAACCCGAUGCAAACUGCGAAUACCGGAGAAUGUUAUCACGGGAGACACACGGCGGGUGCUAACGUCCGUCGUGAAGAGGGAAACAACCCAGACCGCCAGCUAAGGUCCCAAAGUCAUGGUUAAGUGGGAAACGAUGUGGGAAGGCCCAGACAGCCAGGAUGUUGGCUUAGAAGCAGCCAUCAUUUAAAGAAAGCGUAAUAGCUCACUGGUCGAGUCGGCCUGCGCGGAAGAUGUAACGGGGCUAAACCAUGCACCGAAGCUGCGGCAGCGAACGUAUCACCCAAGACAACUUUACGGAGUUGACGAUUGACGGAGCGAAGCGACGUCAAAGCGUUCAUUAAAGUCGAGUUGGCUUAGGGAUACGUUCGUUGGGUAGGGGAGCGUUCUGUAAGCCUGUGAAGGUGUGUCGUGAGGCAUGCUGGAGGUAUCAGAAGUGCGAAUGCUGACAUAAGUAACGAUAAAGCGGGUGAAAAGCCCGCUCGCCGGAAGACCAAGGGUUCCUGUCCAACGUUAAUCGGGGCAGGGUGAGUCGACCCCUAAGGCGAGGCCGAAAGGCGUAGUCGAUGGGAAACGGGUUAAUAUUCCCGUACUUGGUGUUACUGCGAAGGGGGGACGGAGAAGGCUAUGUUGGCCGGGCGACGGUUGUCCCGGUUUAAGCGUGUAGGUGUGUGUUCCAGGUAAAUCCGGUUCACUUUAACACUGAGGCGUGACGACGAGGCACUACGGUGCUGAAGCAACAAAUGCCCUGCUUCCAGGAAAAGCCUCUAAGCAUCAGGUAACACGAAAUCGUACCCCAAACCGACACAGGUGGUCAGGUAGAGAAUACCAAGGCGCUUGAGAGAACUCGGGUGAAGGAACUAGGCAAAAUGGUG